rnacentral:rRNA from 1 species
AGUGAACGCUGGCGGCAGGCCUAACACAUGCAAGUCGAGCGGCAGCGCGGGGGCAACCCUGGCGGCGAGCGGCGGACGGGUGAGGAAUACAUCGGAAUCUACCCAGUCGUGGGGGAUAACGUAGGGAAACUUACGCUAAUACCGCAUACGACCUGAGGGUGAAAGCAGGGGACCGCAAGGCCUUGCGCGAUUGGAUGAGCCGAUGUCCGAUUAGCUAGUUGGUGAGGUAAAGGCUCACCAAGGCGACGAUCGGUAGCUGGUCUGAGAGGAUGAUCAGCCACACUGGAACUGAGACACGGUCCAGACUCCUACGGGAGGCAGCAGUGGGGAAUAUUGGACAAUGGGCGCAAGCCUGAUCCAGCCAUGCCGCGUGUGUGAAGAAGGCCUUUGGGUUGUAAAGCACUUUUGUUCGGGAAGAAAUCUUCCGACCUAAUACGUCGGGAGGAUGACGGUACCGAAAGAAUAAGCACCGGCUAACUUCGUGCCAGCAGCCGAC